AUUGAACGCUGGCGGCAGGCCUAACACAUGAAAGUCGAACGAGUGGCGGACGGGUGAGCAAUGUCUGGGAAACUGCCCGAUGGAGGGGGAUAACUACUGGAAACGGUAGCUAAUACCGCAUACCAUCGGAUGUGCCCAGAUGGGAUUAGCUAGUAGGUGGGGUAACGGCUCACCUAGGCGACGAUCCCUAGCUGGUCUCAGAGGAUGACCAGUCAAACUGGAACUGAGACAGGGUCCAGACUCCUACGAGAGGAAGAAGUGGGGAAUAUUGCACAAUGGGCGCAAGCCUGAUGCAGCCAUGCCGCGUGAAUGAAGAAGGCCUUCGGGUUGUAAAGUACUUUCAGCGAGGAGGCGUUACUCGCAGAAGAAGCACCGGCUAACUCCGUGCCAGCAGCCGCGGUAAUUC
rnacentral:rRNA from 1 species